GAAUGGUAAACUAGCCAUGUUGUCCUCCAAUGUGAAAGUCUCCAAGGCACAAUGCCAUCAACCCUCCUUUUUGCUUCAUUCUUUUGCAAGUUACACUCCAGGUAUGAUUUAUUUCUGGUUCAUUUCCUGUGACUCAGUUACACAGGAUGCAAAAUUAUGAUAAUAAUGCUUGUCUCCAGAUAAUGAAUAAGGGGUUUGGAUUUCUCAUUGCAGAGAUGUUAUACAAAUGGAAAGUAUCAUUACAGCUAAAAUCCAUGACUAAAGAAAUUAAAUUUCCUGGAAUGCUUUAUAUCUAACAAGAAUGUUUGUAAUCCUCUGUAUUUACCACUAAACGAGGUAGACUACAAGAAAGAAGAUAUUUAAAGAGGAGGAAUGAGUUCAAUGGGAAAAAUUAACAAAUAGGAAAAUUGCAGCACUGAAUUUUGUACUUUACUGAGAAAAAGGGUUUGGUAAACAUGCAACAGGAAACCUGCUUGAUUUCUGCAAGGGAAAUUUAACCAGCAACAGACUCAUGGAGAAUCUUCAAAGGAGAAGUUUCUAUACUUGUUUACCUUUUGAUAUGCGGCUGAAAAAGAACACUAUGCCUCAGCUUAAAAGGAGAGAUAUCGAGAAUAGUUUACCCAGUUCUGCAGAGAACUAAAUGCCUACCGGUGUACUGCAAAUGAAAAACUUUACGUAAAAAAAAGCUGCAAAAAAUACUAGAUAUUUGUGGGGUGGAAAGGAUGACAUAUCUUUAAUAAUUCCCCAAAUUUAGUUCCUUUUAUUGUUUCAUAAACACAUGAGGUCAUCACAUUCAGGGUUGUUUUGUUUUUUGUGGUUUUUUUUACUUUAUAUAUCAAAUGUAUUUUGAGGAGAUAAACUUCUGAGGAUGUUGUGAGACAGUCUUUCCAUACCUAUACCCAUCUCCCUUUUGGUUGUGAGGUACCAACUUCUGGCCUUCUGACAUCAGAACAGUGAGAGAAUUAAUUUUUCUGGAAAUCUCAUACAUUUAUGGCAUCAUGCAUGCUGAUUUAGAGGUGUUUCCCCAAUACAGGAAUAACUGGUUUCGCUUCAAGCUAUCAACCAGAGAAAUGUCAACUGCCCUCCCCGGCUUCAACAGAGUGAAGAAUUCCUGUGUGAGCCUCCCCUGCCCAACUGCCAGAAACAGGGUGGUAAUAAUUCACAGUUCCACCAGGGAAGUGGAUGUCUUCCUGUUUCCCCACAUUCUCAUCAGCCGAGAGGAUAAAUAAGAAACUUGUUUUAUGCCGCAUCUCCCUACAGUUGGCAGGGGAAGGAAGAGGAAGGUGGGACAUGACUGAAAUGCACGGCUAAACCCACCUGAGGAAGUCUUCCUGCUGCCCCUCCCCCUCCACCCUGGUCCCCCCAGCUCCCGACCUCCUGCCGGGGUCCCCUCUCUUUCUCUCUGUCCCCCUCUCAUGCAUCAUCAAAUGAUGCUUCCACCAAAAUAAAGAGUUGCCCAAGUAACCUGAGAGGCUUUUUUCCAGCUAUAUAAAUAAUGUAAAUGAUUCUCUUUUUUUCCCUUAAUGUCUGUGGGGUUGAUUUUCAUUUGUUGUUUGUUUUCUGGAAUUGUAAAAAAAAAAAAAACAAUCCUUUUCCAACUACCCUGCAAACAUUUAGGGGAAUUAGUUAUAGAGAUGCUCUUUUCUCCUUUAGCCAUUACCCAGA